AUUGAACGCUGGCGGCAUGCCUAACACAUGCAAGUCGAACGACUGGCGGACGGGUGAGUAAUAUCUUGGCGACUGCCCGAUAGAGGGGGAUAACUACUGGAAACGAUAGCUAAUACCGCCUACCAUCGUAUGUGCCCAGAUGGGAUUAGCUGGUAGGUGAGGUAACGGCUCACCUAGGCGACGAUCCCUAGCUGGUCUGAGAGGAUGACCAGCCACACUGGAACUGAGACACGGUCCAGACUCCUACGGGAGGCAGCAGUGGGGAAUAUUGCACAAUGGGCGCAAGCCUGAUGCAGCCAUGCCGCGUGUAUGAAGAAGGCCUGCGGGUUGUAAAGUACUUUCAGCGGGGAGGCGUUACCCGAAGAAGAAGCACCGGCUAACUCCGUGCCAGCAGCCGCGGUAAUUC
rnacentral:rRNA from 1 species